CCUACGGGGGGCAGCAGUGGGGAAUAUUGCACAAUGGGGGAAACCCUGAUGCAGCGACGCCGCGUGAGCGAUGAAGUAUUUCGGUAUGUAAAGCUCUAUCAGCAGGGAAGAAAAUGACGGUACCUGACUAAGAAGCCCCGGCUAACUACGUGCCAGCAGCCGCGGUAAUACGUAGGGGGCAAGCGUUAUCCGGAUUUACUGGGUGUAAAGGGAGCGUAGACGGCUGUGCAAGCCAGAUGUGAAAGCCCGGGGCUCAACCCCGGGACUGCAUUUGGAACUGUGUGGCUGGAGUGUCGGAGAGGCAGGCGGAAUUCCUAGUGUAGCGGUGAAAUGCGUAGAUAUCAGGAGGAACACCGGCGGCGAAGGCGGCCUGCUGGACCGCGACUGACGUUGAGGCUCGAAAGCGUGGGGAGCGAACAGGAUUAGAUACCCUGGUAGUC
rnacentral:rRNA from 1 species